UAUGCCAUUUGCAUUUAAUUGAGCAGCGUGGCUGGAGAAAACUGCGUGGCUGGAGGAGCAAUUGAAAAAUGGAUAAGAUAAUAAAACAAAAAAGUGAUCAAAUAAUGAAGCUGCAGGCCCAGUUAUUGGAACAACACAAAAUAUUAGAUAACAACGAAGCUAAGGAUGCUCAAAUUUUUGAGUCUACAAGCUCAGCUAGGGGAAAAGAACAAAUUGGAACAAAACAGUUUCCAAACAGUGAAGGAGGUUUUUCAAAACUCAUCCCUAACUGAA